GUCGGGGUCGCAUAGAGGCCGUGCGAUGGCCUGCAGAGCCAUUCUGGUGGGUAUUUAGCCCACGAGGCUAAUCUACGCGAGUUCAACUCUCGCCCCCGGCUCCA
rnacentral:tRNA from 1 species